rnacentral:SRP_RNA from 1 species
UUCGGGAACCCGUGCGGGGGAAACCCGUGAACCGGGUCAGGACCGGAAGGUAGCAGCCCUAAGCGGGAGGUACCUGCGCCGCGGUACUUCGCGAGCCC